UACGGGGGGAGCAAGCGUUGUUCGGAUUUACUGGGCGUAAAGGGAGCGUAGGCGGUCUUAUAAGUCAGUGGUGAAAUCCUAUCGCUUAACGAUAGACGUGCCAUUGAUACUGUAGGACUUGAGUACAGAUGCCGUUGGCGGAAUGUGUCAUGUAGCGGUGAAAUGCAUAGAUAUGACACAGAACACCGAUUGCGAAGGCAGCUGACGAAACUGUAACUGACGCUGAGGCUCGAAAGCGUGGGGAUCAAACAGG
rnacentral:rRNA from 1 species